rnacentral:rRNA from 1 species
CAGCAGCCGCGGGAAUACGUAGGGUGCAAGCGUUGUCCGGAAUUAUUGGGCGUAAAGAGCUCGUAGGCGGUCUGUCGCGUCGAAUGUGAAAACCCGGGGCUCAACCCCGGGCCUGCAUUCGAUACGGGCAGACUAGAGUUCGGUAGGGGAGUCCGGAAUUCCUGGUGUAGCGGUGAAAUGCGCAGAUAUCAGGAGGAACACCGGUGGCGAAGGCGGGACUCUGGGCCGGUACUGACGCUGAGGAGCGAAAGCGUGGGGAGCAAACAGGAUUAGAUACCCGCGUAGUCCCUGUCUCUUAUAA